CCUACGGGUGGCAGCAGUGAGGAAUAUUGGUCAAUGGGCGCGAGCCUGAACCAGCCAAGUAGCGUGAAGGAUGACUGCCCUACGGGUUGUAAACUUCUUUUAUAAAGGAAUAAAGUGAGGCACGUGUGCCUUUUUGUAUGUACUUUAUGAAUAAGGAUCGGCUAACUCCGUGCCAGCAGCCGCGGUAAUACGGAGGAUCCGAGCGUUAUCCGGAUUUAUUGGGUUUAAAGGGAGCGAGGAUGGGUUGUUAAGUCAAUUGUAAAAUUUUGCGGCUCAACCGUAAAAUUGCAAUUAAUACUGGCGGCGUGAGUGAAGUUGAGGGAGGGGGAAUUCGGGGUGGAGCGGUGAAA
rnacentral:rRNA from 1 species